rnacentral:rRNA from 1 species
UACGGAGGGUGCGAGCGUUGUCCGGAAUCACUGGGCGUAAAGGGCGCGUAGGCGGUUCGUUAAGUCCUGUGUGAAAUCCCCCGGCUCAACUGGGGAACUGCACAGGAAACUAGCGGGCUUGAGUUCGGGAGAGGGAAGCGGAAUUCCGGGUGUAGCGGUGAAAUGCGUAGAUAUCCGGAGGAAGACCAGUGGCGAAGGCGGGUCUCUGGACAGUUCCUGACACUGAGGCACGAAGGCCAGGGGAGCAAACGGG